GGGAUCUGGCUCUCGAGAUUCGGAGAACGAUGCCUCUUCGAUUUUUGAGAAAGCAAUCAUGCUGGGGGUCUGGCUCUCGAGAUUCGGAAAGCGGUGUCUCUUCGAUUUUUGAGAAAGUAAUCAUGUUGGGAGUCUGGCUCUCGAGAUUCGGAGGGCGGUGCCUCUUCGAUUUUGGAGCAAGCAAUCUUGUUGGGAGUGUUUUCUCGAAUGUGAGUAAAGGUUGGGCAUGUUUGCUAGUCUACCUUGCCACGAAGCACAGAGGUUGACACACAAGGACUUUCCAAUUAUCCAGCAAUGGUACUGUUCCUUUACCCUCUUCGAUUUUUGAGAAAGUAGUCAUGUUGGGAGUCUGGCUCUCGAGAUUCGGAGGACGGUGCCUCUUCGAUUUUGGAGCAAGCAAUCUUGUUGGGAGUGUUUUCUCGAAUGUGAUUAAAGGUUGGGCAUGUUUGCUAGUCUACCUUGCCAUGAAGCAC
rnacentral:lncRNA from 1 species